AGCCGGCACCGCUCUGGCUAGGCGCACGGAGGCGCCUUGCUUAGCCUGACCCUUAUUUGGCCAGGCGUAAAACUUGUCCUGCCUAAAAGCUUGCUGAGACCUCCUAACUGGUCUAAUCCGCGGGAGACGCCAAAGGCGGCGGCCGUUUGUGCGCACAGGAUUUUUCUUGGAGCUGUAGCAGUCUAGGAAGCCAGGGUGGAACUUUUGCUAAGCUCCCGUUGUAAGCCCAGAGCUGUAAUAACUGCUGAGACACAACCAGCAGUAUACAGGCUCCAGUUGGAAAUCGAGAACUUUCCAGGGCUGUCUGUCACCCAGGCUGGAGUGCAGUGGUGCCAUCACAGCUCACUGCAGCCUCGACCUCCUAGGCUAAAGUGAUCCUCCCAACUCAGCCUCCCAAGUAGCUGGGACUACAGGAAUGUGCCACGCCCAGGUAAUCUUAAUUUUUUGUGGAGACGAGGUCUUGCUAUGUGGCCCAAGCAGAUCUCGAACUCCUGAGCUCAAGGGAUCCUC
rnacentral:lncRNA from 1 species